rnacentral:rRNA from 1 species
UGGGGAAUAUUGGACAAUGGGCGCAAGCCUGAUCCAGCCAUGCCGCGUGAGUGAAGAAGGCCCUAGGGUUGUAAAACUCUUUCAGUGGGGAAGAUGAUGACGGUACCCACAGAAGAAGCCCCGGCUAACUCCGUGCCAGCAGCCGCGGUAAUACGGAGGGGGCUAGCGUUGUUCGGAAUUACUGGGCGUAAAGCGCGCGUAGGCGGUCGGCAUAGUCAGGCGUGAAAGCCCCGGGCUCAACCUGGGAACUGCGUUUGAUACUAGUCGGCUAGAGUUCGGGAGAGGGUAGUGGAAUUCCCAGUGUAGAGGUGAAAUUCGUAGAUAUUGGGAAGAACACCAGUGGCGAAGGCGGCUACCUGGACCGAUACUGACGCUGAGGUGCGAAAGCGUGGGGAGCAAACAGG